AUGAGAUUUAUUGUGUUGUUAAAGAUAGUACAAGGCUUGCAAUUUCCCGCAGCUGGAAUUUACUCGUCACAGAGAAGUGGCAAUAUACUGGACUGCUGCAGCGGUGAUGCUUGAACCACAAUACAUCGAUUGUAGACUGGCUUAUGCAAAAGCCGGAAUCAUGGCUGUUAUCAGGUUCAAUCAAUAGGUACGGAUCCAAUAUCAACAGCAUCAAUCAAUCAAACUGCUCUGUUGCUACCGGCUAGCUACCAUUGCCCGCUAGGCAUCAGUGGAGAUAAAAUCGACACUUAUAGACCAGGAAGAUGCAGGCUACUCGGACAAAAAACAACCCGGAAUAACUAGCUACUCGCUAUCCCCCAACCAGGUACAAACACGGGUUGUCACCAUUUAGCCAAUGAAGAGGAGAUCUGCGUAUUUCUCUAUAGAGACAAAAUAGAAUUGCUAUUAUAGACGAGAUAUCCUCAUUGCUAUUAUUUAGGGGCUGAACUAAUAAUCUAUUUCUCUCUUAGAGCAGUAACAUCAUCAUAUACGACAACAAAUCCAAGAUUUAGGGGUUAUCGUUCUAUAAAAUGAGACGUGUAUUUCUCUGCAUGAAUGACUUCAUUGCGGACGACCAUAUAACUAACUCAGGCUUCCUGAAUUCUGGGAGGAAGAAGUUAAGUGAAUAGUGCUCAAACUCUGCCAAAAUCAGGACCAGAUUAUAAUCUACAGAGUUUUAGACCCCCAUUGAUUCUUGGAGCAGAUCAGAGCAGGCUCUUUCAUGUAGACUCUCAUAGCCUACCGUUGAUGUUGGUUUCACUACGGGAGAUCAAAUCUGUGUGAAGGAUCAACAAUUUGGGAUUAAGGAUUGGGUGGCCAGAUCUUGGUGAAAGAGGUGUUGCUUCACUUGACUCAGGCCUUAACUGGAACCUGUGGAUCUGGAUUUCGUUCAUGUAAGGACAGCAACCAAGCAAGGACAAUCGUCAUAAGGCAAGAGUUAAAGGGUGGCGGGAGCCAAAGGGAGUAAGCGCGUUUUUUGAAAGGGUCUUGGUGGCCAAGAACUGGGAAUUUCAAUACUGAAAGGUGGCCAGCCAAAGAAGAGAUUUUGUCCGGACCCACCCAAGAUCCAGUAAGUGCCGGGUAGAGCAAGCUCGUAUCCUAGCUUCCAUAUUUGCACUGGGGGGUGGGUGACCUCUUCAACGAAGCUUUUGAAAGAUGGGAUCCACUGCAAAUCGAGCAUCUACCAGGGGACAUGAGAAUAGUUUUCAUGGGCCUCUACAACACUUUGAUCGAUAUAUUUGAACGAACGCGGGAGGUCCAAGGACGUGAUGUGCUUCCUUACCUGCGCCAAAAGGGCAUGUUUACAUAGUAAUUGCAGCUUAAGACAAUGAAGAAGGAACAUAUUAUUACCUGUGUCAUUGUGUGGACGCAAAAAAGAAAUUGGAUCACCCUGUGGUAGAUGGAGAAAAUAUUGAGUACCGCACAGGAUCAAUAGUUGUUACUGGUACAUGGCUUAGAAGGUACACAGUGAAGAAGUCUAACUUGUGGUUGUUUGAGGACUUCAAGACACAUAGGAAGAUUCUUCAUUAUUCUAACCUUGUUGUAGCUUCAAAUGUUCAUUUGAUCAGAUAUGGGGGUAGACCUCUAAACAAGAACCUAUGGAAGGUUCGUGAGUUUGACCAUGAGGCCAUACUAGACACGAUAAAGAGUAGAGCGUAUCCAGAUGGUUCAUUGGAUUAAAUGUAAAUGUAAAAAAUUAUGAGUUCAAUCUUAUUUGGAUAUAUGUACAUGACUUGUAUUUUUGACUA